rnacentral:rRNA from 1 species
CAGCAGCCGCGGUAAGACAGAGGAUGCAAGCUUUAUCCGGAAUGAUUGGGCGUAAAGCGUCUAUAGGUGGCUUUUCAAGUCCACCGUCAAAUCCCCGGGCUCAACCCUGGACAAGCAGUGGAAACUACCAAGCUGGAGUACGGUAGGGGCAGAGGGAAUUUCCAGUGGAGCGGUAAAAUGCGUUGAGAUCGGAAAGAACACCAACGGCGAAAACACUCUGCUGGGCCAACACUGACACUGAGAGACGAAAGCUAGGGGAGCCAAUGGGAUUAGAUACCCCCGUAGUCCCUGUCUCUUAUAC